AGAGUUUGAUCAUGGCUCAGAUUGAACGCUGGCGGCAGGCCUAACACAUGCAAGUCGAGCGGUAGCACAGAGAGCUUGCUCUCGGGUGACGAGCGGCGGACGGGUGAGUAAUGUCUGGGAAACUGCCUGAUGGAGGGGGAUAACUACUGGAAACGGUAGCUAAUACCGCAUAAUGUCGCAAGACCAAAGUGGGGGACCUUCGGGCCUCAUGCCAUCAGAUGUGCCCAGAUGGGAUUAGCUGGUAGGUGGGGUAACGGCUCACCUAGGCGACGAUCCCUAGCUGGUCUGAGAGGAUGACCAGCCACACUGGAACUGAGACACGGUCCAGACUCCUACGGGAGGCAGCAGUGGGGAAUAUUGCACAAUGGGCGCAAGCCUGAUGCAGCCAUGCCGCGUGUGUGAAGAAGGCCUUCGGGUUGUAAAGCACUUUCAGCGGGGAGGAAGGCGGUGAGGUUANNNNNNNNNNCGAUUGACGUUACCCGCAGAAGAAGCACCGGCUAACUCCGUGCCAGCAGCCGCGGUAAUACGGAGGGUGCAAGCGUUAAUCGGAAUUACUGGGCGUAAAGCGCACGCAGGCGGUCUGUCAAGUCGGAUGUGAAAUCCCCGGGCUCAACCUGGGAACUGCAUUCGAAACUGGCAGGCUAGAGUCUUGUAGAGGGGGGUAGAAUUCCAGGUGUAGCGGUGAAAUGCGUAGAGAUCUGGAGGAAUACCGGUGGCGAAGGCGGCCCCCUGGACAAAGACUGACGCUCAGGUGCGAAAGCGUGGGGAGCAAACAGGAUUAGAUACCCUGGUAGUCCACGCUGUAAACGAUGUCGAUUUGGAGGUUGUGCCCUUGAGGCGUGGCUUCCGGAGCUAACGCGUUAAAUCGACCGCCUGGGGAGUACGGCCGCAAGGUUAAAACUCAAAUGAAUUGACGGGGGCCCGCACAAGCGGUGGAGCAUGUGGUUUAAUUCGAUGCAACGCGAAGAACCUUACCUGGUCUUGACAUCCACAGAACUUUCCAGAGAUGGAUUGGUGCCUUCGGGAACUGUGAGACAGGUGCUGCAUGGCUGUCGUCAGCUCGUGUUGUGAAAUGUUGGGUUAAGUCCCGCAACGAGCGCAACCCUUAUCCUUUGUUGCCAGCGGUCCGGCCGGGAACUCAAAGGAGACUGCCAGUGAUAAACUGGAGGAAGGUGGGGAUGACGUCAAGUCAUCAUGGCCCUUACGACCAGGGCUACACACGUGCUACAAUGGCAUAUACAAAGAGAAGCGACCUCGCGAGAGCAAGCGGACCUCAUAAAGUAUGUCGUAGUCCGGAUUGGAGUCUGCAACUCGACUCCAUGAAGUCGGAAUCGCUAGUAAUCGUAGAUCAGAAUGCUACGGUGAAUACGUUCCCGGGCCUUGUACACACCGCCCGUCACACCAUGGGAGUGGGUUGCAAAAGAAGUAGGUAGCUUAACCUUCGGGAGGGCGCUUACCACUUUGUGAUUCAUGACUGGGGUGAAGUCGUAACAAGGUAACCGUAGGGGAACCUGCGGUUGGAUCACCU
rnacentral:rRNA from 1 species